GGAGUAGAUUAAAUUGUAGGAGAAAAAUCUUAUCCUGAGCUCAAGAUAGCUGGUAAUGGGAGUCCUGUGGUGACCUUCCUGGAUAAGUUAAAAGAAUACAGGCACUUUUAACUGUUCCCUUGUUCACCAUCUCUAAUCUACCUGGAAGAAGUGUAGUCCCUCUACCCGUGAUGAAGCCCCUCUCAUGAGCAGGCCUGGCUGCUAAGGUGAUGCUGGCCUCAGACAGCAUGGAGCUCUGACCCUCUCUGGUAGUCCCACUGGCGCCAACCUGGAACCCAGGGACACACGGCACGGUGUGGAACCCUUCUCCACUGCUGGAAUGAAAACUGGCCUCAUUGUGGUAAAAUAAAGUGUGGCAGAUUUGCA